rnacentral:lncRNA from 1 species
AAGCCUGGCAUGCUGCAGUCCAUGGGGUGUCAAAGAGUUGGACAUGACUGAGCAAUUGAACAACAACAAGUAGCUGCCUGCAGUUUUAUGAAAAUGAAACCCAACAAAUUUAAAAGAUUUGCUCAAGAUCACAAAGAUUGCUGACUAAGGGCACACUUGAUCGAGUUCCAUGGUCCUUAUACUCCAAGGAAUAACUUGCAUUGAAACAAAUCUACGUGAACCGGGAACUUCCAGAUGUUCAAGCUGGUUUUAGAAAAGGCAG